CAGUUUAGAAAAUCAGUUACUCGUAGGGGUACGGCUCCUCUCUGUGCUUGGUCUCUUUGGUUCUGUGCUUGUCCCUCCGACUGUGCUUUUUCGCAGGGAGGUCUUUCUGUGAAAAGAUUUGAGAACCAGACUUUCAUUGUGGCCUGUUUCCAUUUGAAAAAAAAAAAAUCGCCUUUUUUCUCAGAGACCUUCUGUCCACAUUUCUUCUUCCAUUUUUUUAAUUCCAGUGUCUCUGAGUUUCUCUGUGAUGGUGGAAGUCAGUGCAGAACCAGUCUAGGCACGUCCUCUAGAGCACUCCUAUCUGCUGCUGUGUCUUCCCUUCUUCGUUUUGGUUUCGCGUCCAACCCAGCUUUUUCCAUGCUGAGCUCAGUCUGCUGCCACAGAGCUAUGGCCCCAGUCCUGUCUGACUUUAAGUCUGAGCAAUGCUUUGCUUUUCGCAAAGAUGGUAACGAAUUUGUUGCCUGUUUUCUCUUUGAAUAAAACAUCAAAAUUUCUAUGACCUCUACCUUAAUCCUCUUUUGGAUUAAAAAUAUAUAGGUAGUGAUUCUGACCCCUCACCUGCCCUUUACUUG
rnacentral:lncRNA from 1 species